rnacentral:tRNA from 1 species
GUCACGAUAGCUCAAGUGGUAGAGCAGCAGCGUAGUAAGCCGAAGAUCGUGGGUUCGAAUCCCGCUCGUGCCA